GACGAACGCUGGCGGCGUGCUUAACACAUGCAAGUCGAACGGAAAGGCCCUGCUUUUGUGGGGUGCUCGAGUGGCGAACGGGUGAGUAACACGUGAGUAACCUGCCCUUGACUUUGGGAUAACUUCAGGAAACUGGGGCUAAUACCGGAUAGGAGCUCCUGCUGCAUGGUGGGGGUUGGAAAGUUUCGGCGGUUGGGGAUGGACUCGCGGCUUAUCAGCUUGUUGGUGGGGUAGUGGCUUACCAAGGCUUUGACGGGUAGCCGGCCUGGGAGGGUGACCGGGGACAUUGGGACUGAGGUACGGCCCAGACUGCUACGGGAGGCAGCAGGGGGGAAUCUUACGCAGUGGGCGGGAGCCAGAGACGACGACGCCGCGAGCGGAAAGACGGGUUAUGAGUUGUAAACAGCUUUCGCAUGAGACGAGGAGUGAGUGACGGUAAUGGGUAAAGAAGCACCGGCUAACUACGUG
rnacentral:rRNA from 1 species